CCAGGUAACAACCACUGAAUAUUCACAAAAACAUCCUUUGGUGUUUACACCAAACAAGGAACAGCAUCCAGUAUCCAUGGAGCCCCUGUAACCAGGCAAAUCUGUGGCAGCUACUAAGCACUUGAGAGAAACGUGGGAAAAUCUACUGUUGGGAAAGACAGAAGACGAAAACCCAAUUCCAGGAGCCACUGGUUCAUGCUGCAACAUGCGUGGGUAAUCACCAGUUCUCCAAAAAGUACAGACAAUGGGCACAAAUGAAUCUUCAUCUCUCCUUAUCCUUUUCUAGCCUGAGGACAACGGAUGAUUAUGACCACUUCUGUCUGGAACUUAUAAUCACUAUGACUUUUCAUCCAUUCAACAGAUUUUAUUGAGCUUCUGCUCUGUUCUGGGUACUAUGUGGGCACCAGAAAAAAGCAUUUAAAUAAGACCUAGUCCCUGACUUUGGAUUUCUCACAGUGAAAUGAAAGAGGAAGGAACAAGUGCAUAUUGGCCGCAUAAUUAACAGUCACAUGUCUUGCCUGAUUGAGACAUCAUCACUGAAUGCAGCUCCUCAAAGGGACAGCUAGGAAAUUUUAAAGGAAGACUUGGCUUGGUGUUACUCUUCGACACCCUUGACCGGCUACUCAUUUGUGGCCAUUCCACCCCUGAGCACAGGG
ensembl:lncRNA